ACGCACGCUGGCGGCGUGCUUAACACCUGCCAGUCGAACGGAAAGGCCCUGCUUUUGUGGGGUGCUCGAGUGGCGAACGGGUGAGUAACACGUGAGUAACCUGCCCUUGACUUUGGGAUAACUUCAGGAAACUGGGGCUAAUACCGGAUAGGAGCUCCUGCUGCAUGGUGGGGGUUGGAAAGUUUCGGCGGUUGGGGGUGGACUCGCGGCUUAUCAGCUUGUUGGUGGGGUAGUGGCUUACCAAGGCUUUGACGGGUAGCCGGCCUGAGAGGGUGACCGGCCACAUUGGGACUGAGAUACGGCCCAGACUCCUACGGGAGGCAGCAGUGGGGAAUAUUGCACAAUGGGCGGAAGCCUGAUGCAGCAACGCCGCGUGCGGGAUGACGGCCUUCGGGUUGUAAACCGCUUUCGCCUGUGACGAAGCGUGAGUGACGGUAAUGGGUAAAGAAGCACCGGCUAACUACGUG
rnacentral:rRNA from 1 species